rnacentral:rRNA from 1 species
AACGAACGCUGGCGGCAUGCCUAACACAUGCAAGUCGAACGGGAUCCUGGCUUCGGUCAGGUGAGAGUGGCGGACGGGUGAGUAACGCGUGGGAACCUGCCCAGUGGUGGGGGAUAACUGCGGGAAACUGCAGCUAAUACCGCAUGAGCCCGAGAGGGGAAAGAUUUAUCGCCAUUGGAGGGGCCCGCGUUCGAUUAGGUAGUUGGUGAGGUAACGGCUCACCAAGCCGACGAUCGAUAGCUGGUCUGAGAGGAUGAUCAGCCACACUGGGACUGAGAUACGGCCCAGACUCCUACGGGAGGCAGCAGUGGGGGAAUAUUGGACAAUGGGGGCAACCCUGAUCCAGCAAUGCCGCGUGAGUGAUGAAGGCCUUCGGUGUAAGCUCUUUGUCGGGGACGGAUGAUGAUGGUACCGCAGAAUAAGACCCGGCUAACUUCGUGCCAGCAGCCGCGGUAAU